AAGCGGUGGAGCAUGUGGCUUAAUUCGAGGCUACGCGAAGAACCUUAUCCCGGGCUUGACAUGCACGGAUUAGCCGGCGGAAACGUCGGCGACGCCGCAAGGUGGAACGUGCACAGGUGCUGCAUGGCUGUCGUCAGCUCGUGCCGUGAGGUGUUGGGUUAAGUCCCGUAACGAGCGAAACCCCUGUGAUUAGUUGCCAGCAUUCAGUUGGGCACUCUAAUCAGACCGCCGGCGUCAAGCCGGAGGAAGGCGGGGACG
rnacentral:rRNA from 1 species